CACAGGGCAAGUAUGUGGGAAGGGAUCCAGAGCCCCCGUGUCCUCUCCAGGUGUGCCACCCCACCCUUCCACCAUGCAGAUACGUUCCCAACCCGGAAGCUCUUGGAAUUCCUUUUCAGUUUUUAUGGUAUGAUUGAUCAAAUCACUAGCCACUGGUGGUUGAACUCAAUCUCUAGCCCCUCUCCACUCCCCGGAGGUCAGGGAAGGAGGGGCUGAAAGUGCCAACCAUCUCAUCACGUGGUUGGUUUCCCUGGCAGCCAGCCCCCAUCCAGUGGGACUUUCCCAAAGUCACUUCGUUAAUAUAAACUCCGAGGUGGCUGAAAGGGACUUGUUAUGAACACCAAAAACACACAUUUCACCUUUAUCUUCUGGAGCUAUUUCAGGAACUGGGAACAAAAGAUGCCCUAUAGCUCUUAUCACUUAGGAAAUUACAAAGGUUUAAGGAGCUGUGUACUGGGAACCCUGGAUAAAGACCAAAAUACAUAUUUAUUAUAAAUCACAAUACCACAGAAAAAAAACAAAACAUACACGAUCUAGUUCUAAAAUUUUAUUAGAUUUUUGGAUUAUAUUUUUAUAUGCAACAAAAUAAUCCUGUCAAAUUGCCUUGAAAAGUUUCUAAACGCUGUUAAAUUAAUUAAACAAGGAGGCCAGCAGACUGAGUUGGCUCUAAUACCUUAGUAGCCUACUUAGCAAACCCAAACCUAAGCCUGUAAAUGCCUCAAGGUCAAGGAAUCAAAACCCAAGGACAACCAAUCACAAACAGCCAGCUAGGCUUUCCCAAAGAGGCAAUCGCUUAACUGCAGCCAAUCAAAUCAUCUCCUUGCUUUGCUUCCACCUUUGCUCCUUUGCUCCAUAAAAGUCCCAUGUCGUGUGUGUGUGUGUGUGCGCGCGCACACGCGUGUGUGUCCCGUCGCCCCCUCAUCCCCUCCCCCCUAUUGGUGGAACACUCCUAACCACUUACGGUUUGGCAGUGCUCAAAUCAAAUCAUUUUUUCUCAAAUAACCUCUAAAAUUCCUUAAUACGCCUCAGUUUAUCUUUCAGUAACACUCAGUUUCUGCCCCAGACUGAGGACCUGUGACAUGUUGGGUAACUGUGCUGCAGUCAAUACUGGCCUGAACUUUACCUAGUUUUGAAUUCUAAACAUUGCAAUCCAAACAUUUCACUCCCUUUUUUAAAAGCUUGCCAAACUCUUUGGCCUGUCUUUCAAAAACUUCCACAGUGUGUCCCAAGCAUAUUUUUUAAAAAACACAUUUUACUGAGGUGUAAUUUAUAAACAAUCAAUUGCACCUAUUUAAAGUUCACAAUUCCAUGAGUUUUGAUGGACGUGUAUGCCCACGAAAUCACCACCACGAUCACGACACAAAGCAUUUCCAUCGCCCCAAGAGAUCCCUUGUGCCCCUUUGUAGUCCAUUUGGCCCCAGUUCUAGGCACCCUCUGCUUCUGUCACUAUAGAUUAGUCUUGCCUUUUCCCUUCAUUCAUUCUAAUGAUUCUGAGAUUCGUCCAUGUUGUUGGAUGUAUUGGUAAUUUUCUUCUUUAUAUUGCUGUGUGGUAUUCCCAUUGAAUCCUUCUGAUGUUUCCAGCUUUUGGUUAUGGUGAAUAAAGCUGCUAUGAACAUGUGUGCAUUCGUCUUGAGUGCACAUAUGUUUCAUUUCUCUUGGGUAAAUACCUAGGAGUAGAAUGGCUGGGCUAUAAGGUAAGUGAACAUUUAACUCCAAACCAAUUUUUCCAACUCUAUUUCCCACUAUUCCUCUUACCCACCUUUGAGUCAAACUGAACUAUUUACUUUUUCUCAGACAUGACCCAAGAUCUGCUGCUUCUAUGCCUGUCUUCACGUUAAUCCUCUGGCUUGGAACAUCCCUUUCCAGAUCACCCCAUCUACCUUAGCUCGGUUCAAGUACCAUCCCCACAAAGGCCUCUUUCUUCCUCUCAGUCAGAAGAGACUGUUCCCCCUUGGAAAGUCCACAGAGCUUUAGUUGUACCAUUCUAUUCAUCUUAGAGCUCUUGUUCCUCUAUUAGAUCCUGAGUAUCCUUGAUGGCAGAGUCCAGUUUGGAGCCCUCCUCCCCAAAGGGCCUAGUUCAGUUCUUUGCACAGGGUAGGCACUCAGCAAAUGUUUCUUGGUGAGUAAUAAGGACUCACCACCUCCAAAAGCUGCAAUUGAACAGGUCCAUUUGCCUGAGCUCACUGCAAGGCUGGCCCACGCCCAGGAGAGCAGGAAGCAAGGGAAACACACUGGCUCUCCUCUCAGGUCCUUGGCUCCGUGCAGGGAUACGGUUCCUCAUCCCAGGGCAUGAAACACAAGAAAGGGCAUGUUCUGGGCUAGCAAUAUUAGCAAGAGCUUCAGCUCAAGCCGACUUGAGUCCUGGCCUUAGCUCUCCCACAGUUCCACUGUGACAUGGUGAAGAACUUUUUU
ensembl:lncRNA